rnacentral:rRNA from 1 species
GGGAAACCGGGGCCUAGCGCACGCUCGUGUCCCCCUCGGUGGGGGCCGGGCACGACAGAAAAGUUACCCCGGGGAUAACAGAGUCGUCGCGGGCGAGAGCCCCCAUCGACCCCGCGGUUUGCUACCUCGAUGUCGGCUCUUCCCAUCCUGGAGGUGCAGCAGCCUCCAAGGGAGUGGGAGCUCCACGGGGCGCCCUGAUUUACACUUCAAAUAGUAAUCACGUAUUACCCGCCUAUCCCCAAUAUAGGGAUAAGCAAUGUGUAGAUGGAGAUCAGCGCUAAACUAUCUAAGCGGGUUAGUUGCGGGCGAUGGAAGCCUCUACUAUUAUGAAAGGAACAAAGAGUACUUUACUUAUGUGUACGACAACAAUAGAGACUUCCUGGAUAAAGUUGGUCAACUAAUUCAGAAAACUGUAAAAGUAUCGUACACAAUAGUCAAGCCCUCAAAAACAAAGAACUAUUACAGGCUCCAAUUUACCAGCAAAAGGGUAUACGAGUACGUUAAGAAACUACUCAAAGAACGUCCUAAAAGACCGACAAAGAACUUUGUUAGAGGAUUAAUCGAUGCAGAAGGAAGCCUUUACAUCGAUAGAAAGAAUCGGAUUGUACUCCAAAUAGGACUCACGAACCGUGAACUAGCAGAGUCAAUCUAUAAAUGGAUGCUAAAACAUGGGUAUAGAGUAACGUUUACGGCAUAUGUUGACAAAAGACCCAAUAGAAGAAAGAUGUACAAGGUCUAUGUAAGGGGAUGGGCGAAUAUUGAAAGGUUAAUGAAUGAAUUAAAUCCAAUGCAUCCUAAAUUAUAUCAAAAAUUUCUCAGUUUGAAAAUGGAAAGGGCGUCCCGAGAGCUCCCGCCUUGAAUGGGGCUGCUCGCCCAUUAAAGGGGAACGUGAGCUGGGUUCAGACCGUCGUGAGACAGGUCGGUCUCUACCCGCGGGGGGUGUCGGCCGCCUGAGGGGAAGGUGCCCCUAGUACGAGAGGAACGGGGCGCCGCGGCCUCUAGUGUACCGGUUGUCCGGCAGGGCAGGGCCGGGCAGCCACGCCGCAGUGGGGUAACCGCUGAAAGCAUCUAAGCGGGAACCCCUCCCCGAAAAGAGGCGGCCAUCCGCCCUGUUAGGGGCGGCGAGGGCUCCCGUAGAAGACGGGGUUGAUGGGGCGGGGGUGUAAGCCCUGAGGGGGCGUUGGCCCCCGAGGGGUUCAGCCCGCCGCUCCCAAUCGCCCGAGGCCGCAGGGGG